rnacentral:rRNA from 1 species
UACAGAGGUCUCAAGCGUUGUUCGGAUUCAUUGGGCGUAAAGGGUGCGUAGGCGGCGCGGUAAGUCAGGGGUGAAAUCCUGGAGCUCAACUCCAGAACUGCCUUUGAUACUGAAGAUCUUGAGUUCGGGAGAGGUGAGUGGAACUGCGAGUGUAGAGGUGAAAUUCGUAGAUAUUCGCAAGAACACCAGUGGCGAAGGCGGACUCACUGGCCCGGUACUGACGCUGAGGUGCGAAAGCGUGGGGAGCAACAGG